AGAGCGGGUGUGCAACCAAUCAAGCAUGGAUGCUCCUGCAUAUGAUAGAGUUAACUUGUUGUCCAUCACUGUCCUGGGAAUGAGGCUCCUGCUUGUCAAAACUUUGGCCUUCAACCUGCUUCUAAGUGCAAAGUUGUUUGUUCUGUAAGACAAUCCAAUGGACCAGAAGAAAACAUCAUCUUUAUAAAGUCAUCCCGAAAUAAAUAUAUAAAAUUGCCAACAAUUUACCAAAAAACAAAUACCGGUUAUAUAUUGUAAUUUUCAUCUGAUUAAAAUAAAUUUUAACCAGUAAUCAGGUUUAUUCAUUUGGAUGUAUCUACCCUUGGUCCCUGGGUGACUUUAUUCUAUGUUGCUACUAUAUGUGUGCUGUUAUACCAAAUUAUAAAUUCUACAUUUCCAUGUUGACAAAUAGAAAUUAAAUUC